rnacentral:rRNA from 1 species
CAGCGCGGGGCCCUGGCGGCGAGUGGCGAACGGGUGAGUAAUAUAUCGGAACGUACCCUGGAGUGGGGGAACGUAGCGAAAGUUACGCUAAUACCGCAUACGAUCUAAGGAUGAAAGUGGGGGAUCGAGACCUCAUGCUCCUGGAGCGGCCGAUAUCUGAUUAGCUAGUUGGUAGGGUAAAAGCCCCAAGGCAUCGAUCAGUAGCUGGUCUGAGAGGACGACCAGCCACACUGGAACUGAGACGGUCCAGACUCCUACGGGAGGCAGCAGUGGGGAAUUUUGGACAAUGGGCGCAAGCCUGCCAGCAAUGCCGCGUGAGUGAAGAAGGCCUUCGGGUUGUAAAGCUCUUUUGUCAGGGAAAAAGGGUCUGGCUAAUAUCUAGGCCUCAUGACGGUACCUGAAGAAUAAGCACCGGCUCUACGUGCCAGCAGCCGCGGUAAUACGUAGGGUGCAAGCGUUAAUCGGAAUUACUGGGUAAAGCGUGCGCAGGCGGUUUUGUAAGACUGUCGUGAAAUCCCCGGGCUCAACCUGGGUGGCGAUGGUGACUGCAAGGCUAGAGUUUGGCAGAGGGGGGUAGAAUUCCACGUGUAGGUGAAAUGCGUAGAUAUGUGGAGGAACACCGAUGGCGAAGGCAGCCCCCUGGGUCAAAUGACGCUCAUGCACGAAAGCGUGGGGAGCAAACAGGAUUAGAUACCCUGGUAGUCCACCCUAAACGAUGUCUACUAGUUGUCGGGUCUUAAUUGACUUGGUAACGCAGCUAACGCG